rnacentral:rRNA from 1 species
GGGCUCACACAAGCGGUGGAGCAUGUGGCUUAAUUCGAAGCAACGCGAAGAACCUUAUCCAGGGUUUGACAUCCCGGAUUAACCCAUCGAAAGAUGGGCUACGCCCUCUGGGUGGAACGGUGACAGGUGCUGCAUGGCUGUCGUCAGCUCGUGCUGUGAAGUGUCGGGUUAAGUCCCUCAACGAGCGCAACCCUUAUCGUUAGUUGCUAACAGGUAAUGCUGAGGACUCUAGCGAGACUGCCGGUGUCAAACCGGAGGAAGGUGGGGAUGACGUCAAGUCCUCAUGGCCUUUAUGCCCUGGGCUGCACACGUGCUACAAUGGUAGGUACAGAACGAUGCAAGACCGCGAGGUGGAGCAAAUCGCUAAAACCUGCCCCAGUUCGGAUUGCAGGCUGCAACUCGCCUGCAUGAAGUCGGAAUCGCUAGUAAUCG